UACGUAGGGUGCAAGCGUUAAUCGGAAUUACUGGGCGUAAAGCGUGCGCAGGCGGUUUUGUAAGUCUGACGUGAAAUCCCCGGGCUCAACCUGGGAAUUGCGUUGGAGACUGCAAGGCUAGAAUCUGGCAGAGGGGGGUAGAAUUCCACGUGUAGCAGUGAAAUGCGUAGAGAUGUGGAGGAACACCGAUGGCGAAGGCAGCCCCCUGGGUCAAGAUUGACGCUCACGCACGAAAGCGUGGGGAGCGAACAGG
rnacentral:rRNA from 1 species